rnacentral:rRNA from 1 species
GAUUUUUCAUCGGAAAGAGGUCUAUGAAGACUUUUGGGAAAACGUCGACGUUUGCUGGCUUAUUUGGCAAAGAGAAAUAGAGUACUUUAUAAGAAAUUAAUCGGUCAGUUGAAUAUUCGGGAGCAGUAA